rnacentral:rRNA from 1 species
UACGUAGGGACCGAGCGUUGUCCGGAAUCAUUGGGCGUAAAGAGCGUGUAGGCGGCCCCUUAAGUCCUGCGUGAAAUCCUGCGGCUCAACCGCAGACGGUCGUGGGAAACUGGAGGGCUAGAGUGCGGGAGAGGAGAGUGGAAUUCCCGGUGUAGCGGUGAAAUGCGCAGAUAUCGGGAAGAACACCCGUGGCGAAGGCGGCUCUCUGGGACGGUACUGACGCUGAGACGCGAAAGCGUGGGGAGCGAACAGG